GGGAGGCAUCAGACAGGAGACGAAUGAGAAAGCUGUUGCAGUCAUCUGGGAUUGAGACGUCAGCUUGACAAAGCUUUCUCUCCUCGCAGGACCCCUAUUUGUGACCAAUUGUAAGAUCAUCUGAAGAUCGAGUCCGAUUGCCUGGCCAGGCCGGGCUGGGUGGUAUGUGCCCCCGUCACGCCGGAGGUUCCUGCUUUAGCGACGCCAAAGAUUGGGUGUGAGGGCAGCCCGCGGUGACAGAGACACGGAUCGGACCGAGAGAAAAAGGCUGUGGGCUUCACUGAGCAGAGUGACGUCAAUUCACAGGACCUCCACAGUGUGCCUUUUGCUGGGUAGGAAAAUGCCAGCCAGCUUGGAAAACAAGAAGACACAUUUAUGUCUACCAUGAGCAUUGGCAUCAGCCAAUUAUCCCACACGUUUUCGGCUAGUCAGUGCUGAAGAGAGCAAGAAUUUCAACCCUUCUUGCUACAUUCAAGACAUAGAAAUCCAGCCAGAAGACAACUCGAGAUAUUUUGUGGAUCUAUGCCUUUCCUUCAGAAAAGCAAAUAUCUACCAUAAAAAAAC
rnacentral:lncRNA from 10 species